AGAAUCAACGCUGGCGGCGUGCCUAACACAUGCAAGUCGCACGAGAAAGGGGAGCAAUCCCUGAGUACAGUGGCGCACGGGUGAGUAACACGUGAAUAAUCUACCUCCGAGUGGGGAAUAACUGAGAGAAAUCUUAGCUAAUACCGCAUAACACUUACGAGUCAAAGCAGCAAUGCGCUUGGAGAGGAGUUCGCGGCCGAUUAGUUAGUUGGCGGGGUAAUGGCCCACCAAGACGAUGAUCGGUAUCCGGCCUGAGAGGGCGCACGGACACACUGGAACUGAAACACGGUCCAGACUCCUACGGGAGGCAGCAGUGGGGAAUUUUGCGCAAUGGGGGAAACCCUGACGCAGCAACGCCGCGUGGAGGAUGAAGCCCCGUUGGGGUCGUAAACUCCUUUCGAUCGGGAAGAUAAUGACGGUACCGAUAUAAGAAGCCCGGCUAACUCGUGCCAGCAGCCGC
rnacentral:rRNA from 1 species